UUCAGCCCAGCUUUGUUUAUUUGGCAAUCUUAUAAAUGAAGCUUUCUGUUUUUACAGUGCAUCAUGACUGUUACUGACAUGUUGAUAUUGACUCUGAUUAAAUCUCCAUUGGUGACUCUUUGUUAAGGUGGAGUUUUCUACAUAGAAGCAUCAUUUGGUAUACACCAGAUACACAAGUUACUUUUUUAAUGUCCAUGAGGCACAACUGCAAAUACAUGGACAACUACCUUAAGAGCACUGUGACCAGAGCUGCAUCAGCUCAUGGCCAACAUGCAGCCUGCAAGACCCUCCACCAUUACUCAUGGUCCUGUUUUACUUCCUGAAGAAGGUUUUCUUUGGGUUGACAGCUAAAGCAUGUUGUUUCCUCACCAUCUUUGCUAGUGGAGCAUGGAUGGUUGGGAUCUGCUACUUUUUAGGGACUGAUUUUUCUCCUAAAAUCAACCCUGCAACCUGUGAGUUGGAAAGAAGUCACUCAAGAAUUGUGACAGUUCAGAAUGGAAAAAUCACUAAAUGGGACAAGCCUGAUCCUUUGUAGACCUCCAGUGUUGUAUGUUCUCAUUUAAGAUACUAUUAAGGAAAACUAUUUAGGAGAAUAAGAUAUAUCAUUACACACUUUAAAAUCAGCACAGAGGUGAGAACCUUCAGCAGAUGUCUGCUAAUUCCCAACACUGCCUUUGGAGGAGGGAACUGCCAGCUCUGGGCAGAGCAGCCAACAGAAACACCCACAAGCUGAGAAGGUUGAGGUUUUGGGGGGGGUGAGGUGGUUUUCGUGUUCUUUUUUACCUUUUCCUCUUUUCCUUCUCUUUAGUAACAAUCCUGCAAAGAACUACCCCAUUUCCAGCACUUCUCAAGGUGACUGGAAUAGAGGGGAAAAACUCCUGCUUUGAUUAAAACCCCAUUUUCUGAAGUAAGAAUUAAAUACCCAGAGCGCUAUUACAAAGUGUCAACUGCUGUUGCUGUACUGUAAUACCUUCAAGAGCUAUUUGGGUUUUUUCCAACUAAAUCUUAACCUUUAGAAUCAGAUUUGGGUUGUGCAUUUGUUCCAUCAGCUUUAUAUACUGUUUCCUUUGCUAAGUUACACCCUUACCAAAAUGUUAAAUUCCUCCUAACCAGAACAAGGGCUGAAAUAGGUUAUAUUUAACUCUGCUCUAAAAGGGAGAAAAUACUGUGGAAGGAAAGUACCAUUCUGAGGUGAUGGUCACUUGCAUUUUUCAAUCAAAAUUAGAUGAAAUAAACAUUUACAUCAGUUGCCACUAAAACAUUAUAGUCAAGUUUCAAUUAAUUUUUCACUUACGUUUAAUAAAGUCUUCUUUUUAGUAUGUAUUUAAAUUGAUUCAUGGAUUGAUGCUGGAGAGGGACUCUUCAUCAGGGACUGUAGUGAUAGGACAAGGGGUGAUGGGUUCAAACUGAACCAGGGCAAGUUCAGGUUGGAUCUAAGGCAGAAGUUCUUCCCUGUGAGGGUGCUGAGGCGCUGGCACAGGGUGCCCAGAGAAGCUGUGGCUGCCCCAUCCCUGGCAGUGUUCAAGGCCAGGUUGGACACAGGG
rnacentral:lncRNA from 1 species